rnacentral:misc_RNA from 1 species
GUAUACUGAUAAAGUUAGUUAAACAGAAACUGAUCAUAUGUAAAGCAAAUAUAUAUAUUGCACUAAUUAUCGCAUAAUGAUCCAUUUAUGUGCUAAUUAAUUACAUAAUAAAACAAUUAACGAUCUCAUGGUUUAUGCUUCUGGGUGUAGAUGUAAUCUAUAUGAGCAGCAAGUGUCCUUCUCAUCAAGCACUCUUCUUCCCCAGCUCCUUCACAGCUCUGUUCUUCUACUAUCUCUGCUUCAUCAACACCCUGCGGUUGAUCCUUCGCCAAGGAGCCAUUGGAAAAGGCUGGCUCGUGGCGGGCGGCGUAGGUUAGCGGGUUGGAGCAGAGGAGGAGGGCUAGCAGGAUAGACAGGAUGGCAAACUUAAGCUUAACCAUCUUUUUUAUAAGUUUGCUGUAAGAGAGAAGGCAGAAGAGAUAUCGAUAAG